UGUAGGAGCUGCCGCAGGCUGCGAUCUUUUGAUCUUGUUUUUUACAAUCAAAAAAUCGCAGCCUGCGGCAGCUCCUACA
rnacentral:misc_RNA from 1 species